GCGAAAGUGAUAAGUUAGCCACCUGGGGAGUACGUCCGCAAGGAUGAAACUCAAAGGAAUUGACGGGGGCCCGCACAAGCGGUGGAUUAUGUGGUUUAAUUCGAUGAUACGCGAGGAACCUUACCAAGACUUAAAUGGGAAUUGACAGAUUUAGAAAUAGAUCCUCCUUCGGGCAAUUUUCAAGGUGCUGCAUGGUUGUCGUCAGCUCGUGUCGUGAGAUGUUGGGUUAAGUCCCGCAACGAGCGCAACCCUUGUCAUUAGUUGCUACAUUUAGUUGGGCACUCUAAUGAGACUGCCGGUGACAAACCGGAGGAAGGUGGGGAUGACGUCAAGUCCUCAUGGCCCUUAUAGGUGGGGCUACACACGUCAUACAAUGGCUGGUACAAAGGGUUGCCAACCCGCGAGGGGGAGCCAAUCCCAUAAAGCCAGUCGUAGUCCGGAUCGCAGUCUGCAACUCGACUGCGUGAAGUCGGAAUCGCUAGUAAUCGUGGAUCAGAAUGUCACGGUGAAUACGUUCCCGGGUCUUGUACACACCGCCCGUCACACCAUGGGAGCGGGUUCUGCCAGAAGUAGUUAGCCUAACCGCAAGGAGGGCGAUUACCGCGGCGGGGUUCGUGACUGGGGUGAAGUCGUAACAAGGUAACCAAGG
rnacentral:rRNA from 1 species